rnacentral:rRNA from 1 species
UACGUAGGGUGCAAGCGUUAAUCGGAAUUACUGGGCGUAAAGGGCGCGUAGGCGGGAUGGCAAGUCGGUCGUGAAAUCCCUCGGCUCAACCGAGGAACGUCGAUCGAUACUGCUGUUCUUGAGGAUUGCAGAGGAGACUGGAAUUCCCGGUGUAGCGGUGAAAUGUGUAGAGAUCGGGAGGAACACCGGUGGCGAAGGCGGGUCUCUGUGCAAUUCCUGACGCUGAGGCGCGAAAGCGUGGGGAGCAAACGGG